rfam:Nomascus leucogenys chromosome 2, whole genome shotgun sequence.
CCUGGGCGUGGUGUUGCUUGCCUGUAAUCUCAGCUACUCGGGAGGCUGAGGCAGGAGAAUCACUUGAACCCAGGAGAUUGAGGUUGCAGUGAGCCAAGAUUGGGCCACUGCAUUCCAGCCUGGGUGACAGAGUGAGACUCUGUCUUUA